AGAGUUUGAUCAUGGCUCAGGACGAACGCUGGCGGCGUGCCUAAUACAUGCAAGUCGAGCGAAUCAUUAGGAGCUUGCUCCUUUUGGUUAGCGGCGGACGGGUGAGUAACACGUGGGCAACCUGCCUGUAAGACUGGGAUAACUUCGGGAAACCGGAGCUAAUACCGGAUAAUCCUUUUCCUCUCAUGAGGAAAAGCUGAAAGUCGGUUUACGCUGACACUUACAGAUGGGCCCGCGGCGCAUUAGCUAGUUGGUGAGGUAACGGCUCACCAAGGCGACGAUGCGUAGCCGACCUGAGAGGGUGAUCGGCCACACUGGGACUGAGACACGGCCCAGACUCCUACGGGAGGCAGCAGUAGGGAAUCUUCCGCAAUGGACGAAAGUCUGACGGAGCAACGCCGCGUGAGCGAUGAAGGCCUUCGGGUCGUAAAGCUCUGUUGUUAGGGAAGAACAAGUACCGGAGUAACUGCCGGUACCUUGACGGUACCUAACCAGAAAGCCACGGCUAACUACGUGCCAGCAGCCGCGGUAAUACGUAGGUGGCAAGCGUUGUCCGGAAUUAUUGGGCGUAAAGCGCGCGCAGGCGGUCCUUUAAGUCUGAUGUGAAAGCCCACGGCUCAACCGUGGAGGGUCAUUGGAAACUGGGGGACUUGAGUACAGAAGAGGAAAGCGGAAUUCCACGUGUAGCGGUGAAAUGCGUAGAGAUGUGGAGGAACACCAGUGGCGAAGGCGGCUUUCUGGUCUGUAACUGACGCUGAGGCGCGAAAGC
rnacentral:rRNA from 1 species